CUGUGCUAGACGGGGAGCUAGCGGUGCCCUGUAACCUGCAAUCCGCUAUAGCAGGGUCGAAGUCCCAUCAGAGGUCUUUUCGUUUUUAUCUCUCGCCAUCAAGAGCAGUGUAGAAAGCCUAAGCCCUGCGCAAUAAAUGCGUGCCAAACCCCGUCAGGAGCGGAAGCUAGCAGCGGUAGGUGCAAAGUUUAUGUGCCGCAGGAUUCCCUAGGUUGAGCUGUUCUCUGAGGCAGAGAAAAAAUUGAAGGAUCAACGAUGGGUGCACAG
rnacentral:SRP_RNA from 1 species